GUCCCCCCUUCCGAAGGAAAGACUUUCAAACAAAAAUGGCAAAACCCUACUCCUAGGUUCUUUGCCGCGGCCGUCCCCUGUCUCAGCGCUUCCGCUUCUUCCUCUUCCCUCUGUCCGGAACCCAGGUAGCUCGGCACGUCGUCCCCAUCCUGCUGGCUUCUCUGUCCGUGGCUUGGAGCAGCUUGUCAUCGGGUCACUGCUUGCCGUCGUCUCUGCUCUCGCCGUCGUGUCGCCGGUCGCUGCCAGAACUGGGCUGGAUAGGGUGUUUGAAGGGGAUGGCUUCCAUUCAAACUACUGAGUGAAAGGCGAGCUACUGGUCUACGCUUGUUCCUGUGCGAGAAUCUCCGGCUUCAAAUUUUAGAUUUUUUAUCCCUGCUCGCUCUGUUGCACAUUCAUAUCCGGGCGAGUCUAGAACAAAAACAAGGGCUAGGUAGGUAAAGGUUACAGGGUUACAGCCAGCAUAAAGGAUUCUUAGGCGCCAAACAAAUAACCUCUUUCUUUGUUCCUUUUCCGUUUUCUUCCAGCAUAUUUGUUACCAAUGUUUCUGAGCAACCAUAGCAGUCAGUUUGCUCAUCAAGAAACAGCUUGCUACUUGUUACUAAAAGAACUUCAGAAAAUAUGGGAUGACGUUGGAGAGUCUGAUUCUCAGAAAGAUGCAAUGUUACUUGAAAUAGAGCAAAAGUGUUUGGAGUUGUAUAAGAAAAAAGUGGAUGAAGCAAAAGCAUAUAGAGCACAAAUUCAGCAAGAAAUUACUUAGCUGGCAUCUGUGCGGCGAUGGGCGUACAGCCACCACAUUUUGAGCACAAGACAUGUGAAAGCUUGAAGAAAGGACGCAAAAUUGUUGUUUUGCUGCUUGAGGAGAUGCGCAAGCUGAAGACUGAGAGGAAGAAACAAUUUUUAGAAGUCUUGUAUCAACUGCAAAAUAUUUCAACUGAGCUGUAUGGAAGUAAGGGGGCUAAUGUAUAUCUAGAUGAAAACAACUUGACUUUGGAAAGACUAAAAGAACUACAAAGGAAGUUCAAUUUCAAAAUGAAAAGGCCAGUCGACUGAAGCAGGUAUUUGACCUUUUGAAUACUCUUAGUUCGCUAUGUUCAGUACUUGGUUUGGAUAUAAAAGACAAACUUGGUGAAAUUUGCCCCACUUUGGUUACUUCCACUGCAUCGAAAGAAAUAAGUGACAAUACUAUAAAGAUUUUAUCAUCUGAAGUAAAAAGUUUGAGAGAGGUUAAAUCACACACAAUGCAGAAGCUUCAAUGUCUUGCUACUGUACUAUUAGAGAUGUGGAAUUUGAUGGGCACACCACUUGAAGAACAGCUUCAAUGUCUUGCUACUGUACUAUUAGGAAGUAACUCUGUUU